AAGGUCGUGGAUCGCCGUGUGUAUGCUUUGUGGGGAGGCAUCGGGUGAAGAUCAAGUGGGGGAAGGAGGAGUGGAUGUCGGAAAAGACGAUCGGAGGUGGCCCCAUUGAGCACUCCUUUAAGAACAAGGGUACUACGAAGACACAGCGGCCCUUCUUCUAGCGCCAAUCCUGUUGGUGCAAAAAUCUGCCUGUGUCGGAGAAGUUGGAGUCGAGGGAGUCACGGUCGCCGUCGGAACCUGCAAAAGAAGUCUAAACUGGAGGUGCGGUUGCUCCGGCAAGACCUUCCGAUGCUCAAGUCAGUUCUCUAUCUCAACAAGAAUGGAGUGCUCGAACGAAAAUUUGAGCAGAGUUUUGGGAUAGAAAAUAGAGCUUAGAGAAUAACGUAUUUGGGAUCCCCUUUUAUAGGCAAAGGGAGCAACAGACUGAUAGCGAUGUUUGUAACCGUCUGACAGUGGGCUGCCCAUGGUCAGGAGGAGUUUGUUGCGAAGACUAGUAG
rnacentral:lncRNA from 1 species